GCUGGGUGUGGUGGUGCAUGCCUGUAAUUCCAGCUACUUGGGAGGCUGAAGCAUGAGGAUCACAAAUGUGAGACCCACCUGGGCAACUUAGCAAGACCCUGUGUCAA
rnacentral:sRNA from 1 species